AUUGAACGCUGGCGGCAGGCCUAACACAUGCAAGUCGAGCGAGCGGCGGACGGGUGAGUAAUGUAUGGGGACUGCCCGCUAGAGGGGGAUAACUACUGGAACCGGUGGCUAAUACCGCAUACUAUCGGAUCACCCAUAGGGGAGUAGCGAGUCGGUGGGGUAAAGGCUAACCUAGGCGACGAUCUCUAGCUGGUCUGAGAGGAUGAUCAGCAGAACGGGGAAGGAGACACGGCCCAGACGCCUACGGAGGCAGCAGUGGGGAAUAUUGCACAAUGGGCGCAAGCCUGAUGCAGCCAUGCCGCGUGUAUGAAGAAGGCCUUAGGGUUGUAAAGUACUUUCAGCGGGGAGGCGUUACCCGCAGAAGAAGCACCGGCUAACUCCGUGCCAGCAGCCGCGGUAAUUC
rnacentral:rRNA from 1 species